rnacentral:lncRNA from 1 species
AUGCACAAAAGCUCUUUUAGAAAAAUGCUUUGGAAAAAUAGAAUAAAGAAAAAGAAAAAAAACGAGGAAGAACUCACCUGCGCCUUGGGCCCAGCCCCCAUUUCCCCGCGCGUGGCCCGAUUCGCAUCCCUACGGCCAAGCCGAGCAGCAGGUGUGCCUUCCCCUCCCUUCCCAUCGCUGACAGGCCGGGUCCACAUGGCAGCGACCGCCCCGUCUCCUACCUCGGUCC